AUUGAACGCUGGCGGCAUGCCUUACACAUGCAAGUCGAACGGCAGCACGGGAGCAAUCCUGGUGGCGAGUGGCGAACGGGUGAGUAAAGCAUCGGAACGUGCCCAGUCGUGGGGGAUAACGUAGCGAAAGCUACGCUAAUACCGCAUACGAUCUGUGGAUGAAAGCGGGGGACCGUAAGGCCUCGCGCGAUUGGAGCGGCCGAUGUCGGAUUAGGUAGUUGGUGAGGUAAAGGCUCACCAAGCCGACGAUCUGUAGCUGGUCUGAGAGGACGACCAGCCACACUGGGACUGAGACACGGCCCAGACUCCUACGGGAGGCAGCAGUGGGGAAUUUUGGACAAUGGGCGCAAGCCUGAUCCAGCAAUGCCGCGUGCAGGAUGAAGGCCUUCGGGUUGUAAACUUCUUUUGUACGGAGCGAAACGGCUUCCACUAAUACUGGGGGCUAAUGACGGUACCGUAAGAAUAAGCACCGGCUAACUACGUGCCAGCAGCCGCGGUAAGAC
rnacentral:rRNA from 1 species